rfam:Candidatus Rokubacteria bacterium 13_2_20CM_2_70_11 13_2_20cm_2_scaffold_814, whole genome shotgun sequence.
GCUGGCGUAGCUCAGUGGCAGAGCAACUGCCUUGUAAGCAGUGGG